GGGCGAUUAGCUCAGUUGGCUAGAGCGUUUCCGUGACAUGGAAAAGGUCACAGGUUCGAGUCCUGUAUCGCCCA
rnacentral:tRNA from 1 species